AGACCAGAGGGGACCGAGCCGGGAAGGCGAGACAGGGACAGGCGAGAGACGCUGCUCCCAACUCGCAGAGGGAGAAAGCGUGUAUCCCGGGCUGCCGGGGAGAGUGGAAAAGAAAGGACUGGACUUUGUAUGAGAUUUUGUGGAGAGGUCCUGGUUAACUUUAAAGAACUCCUUGGGUUAGUUGGCUGAGAAUCAUUGGCUUUGGUUGGCUGCUGAGACUUGUGGGAGGACCAUUUGAAAGCGCCUACUUCUCCAAGAGGCAG
rnacentral:lncRNA from 1 species